AGAGAAAGCUGAUGUUCUCCUCCUAAGGGCUGGAUUGCCUUCACAUUUCCAUCUUCAACUCUCAGAAAUUGAGUUCCAUGAGAUUAUUGGCUCAGGUAACCUAAGAAACUAUAGUUCUACUUUAAUUAAAAUGAGCUCAAGAUAAUAUGUACUUAUUUAUUUAUUUUAAACAAUUUUAGGAUCUUUUGGGAAAGUAUAUAAAGGACGAUGCAGAAAUAAAAUAGUGGCUAUAAAACAGUAAGCAAAUGAAAAAAAUUACCAUCUAGGUAGAGUAGUGAGCUUUGACAACUAUAUACACAGCAAACCUCUUGUUGGAUUCAUUAAUUGAUGAGAAUUUCCUCUUGCUGCCAUUUCUAGUUAUCGGGCCAACACUUACUGCUCCAAAUCAGAUGUGGAUAUGUUUUGCAGAGAGGUGUCUAUUCUCUGCCAGCUCAAUCAUCCCUGUGUAAUUCACUUUGUGGGUGCUUGCUUGAAUGAUCCCAGCCAAUUUGCCAUCGUCACUCAGUACAUAUCAGGAGGUUCUCUGUUUUCCCUCCUUCAUGAGCAAAAGAGGUAUGAGUCUCUUGUUCUGCCUUAUACUUGAAAAUGGCAUUCAACAUGGCAUUGAAAUUUUCCUGAGGCAUUUCUGAGGCUUUCUGAUUGCAUGAACCUUCACCUUUGGAAACCUCUGAAUACUAGUGAGUGUGCAUUAAAUAUGGCUAAUAAUUUAUGACUAAUUAUUGUAUUUCAAGGAAUAGAAAUAUUUCUGUGACUUAUUAAUAGGAAUUCAGUUGAAGGUAACAAAUUCAAGGAAUUUAAAUUGGCAACUGAAACAUUAUUACGCUAUUUGACAUACCAAUAAAGCAGAUAUAUGUAAACUCAGAAGAAAAUAAUUACCAAGAUCACCAUAUAAGGAAGUUUUAAAAAGAAAUGAUCUUGCACAAGCCUAAUUUGAAUUUAUUUCCUAGAUCUAUACAUACAGUAAUUAGAAUGUGGUUUUGUACAGUUAUUAAAAAUAGAUCUUAACAUUAUUACAAAUAAUUUAAAUAUAUUGCAAAUAAAUUAGAAAAUCAAGUACAAUAUUUUAAAUGAAACGUAUUGUAUACCCGAGUUGACCUAUAAUUAAGCAUUUUCUGAGGUAGAAAGAUUUGUUAAACUUUUUCAUAUAACCUUCAAUUAAUUAAAAAUAGACUAAAAUUACACAGAACAAAACAAAACAUAUAUACCUUGAUUUCUUUUAAAAGAUAUGGCAUUGGUUUUGACUUUUUUUCCUUCCACUGAAUCUGUUUUUAAAUUUUAGGAUUCUUGAUUUGCAGUCUAAAUUAAUUAUUGCAGUAGAUGUUGCCAAAGGUAUGGAAUACCUUCACAACCUGACACAGCCAAUUAUACACCGUGACUUGAACAGGUAUUUUUUUUCCUAAUAAUGAACUUAGAAUUGUCUGACUGACUAGUAGCCUAAGAUAGAUUCAAUAAAGAUACAUUUUAGAUUUACUGCAGAUGAGUAUUUUCUCCCUACUCUGUGAACAAGGAAUUGGGCUAUCAUAAGCCUAGGCAAUAGAAAGUUUUGUCUUUUACCAAAAUAGAAGGCUAUAUAAAAGUGCUUCUCAGGCAUCUUCCAAAUCUAGAAAGAAUUUCCAGAAAGAGUGCUGCUUGUGAGAUGUGCCAACAAACUAUAAUCAUGUGCCUCAUGACAGUGUAUUCAUGAGAGUGGAGCCAAGGUCCCAUAAAAUUAUAAUGGAGCUGAAAAAUUAUUAUAACUCAGUGACAUUGCAGCCAUGGUAAAGUGGUGCACCAUGUUACUCAGGUUUGUGGCAGUACUGAUGUGAAAAACCUAUAAUAUUGCAAGUAUAAAAAAGCAUAGCACAAGUAUAGCACAAUUAUCAUUUUGAUAAUGAUAAUUUAGCAACUACAUUCCUGGUUUAAAUAUUGGUAUUAUACUUUUUAUUAUAAUUUUAAACUACCACUUUGACUUAUUAAAAAAAUUACUGUAAAACAAUAUGGCAUGUUAUGCUGGAGCAGACCUCAUAUAUCUCAUGUUUACUGCAUCUCAUGCAUCAAGAGACCAUAUUUAGUGAUUGACUUAUAUCAUCUAGGUUCAUAUAAGUACACUCUGUGAUGUUUGCCCAAUGACAAAAUCACCCCUAAAAAUCCAUUUCUCAGAACAUAUCCUCAUUCUUAAGCAAACACAUGAUUGUACUUUCCAGGUAAGGAAGAUCAGAUCAAGAAUUAAGCUCAUUGACUCCUAAAGACUGUCUCAUACAAAGUCACUUGUUAGAGGAGGACCCUAUUUGAAGUAAUACUUUGUGCUACUAUUUUGGUAUUUUGGAAUUAGUGAAUUCAGCCAAACUAGAGCAGGUUGUUUACCUAGUUUUCAUGUGAAGAGGCUUUCAUGAGAAAUAGAGACUUGAAACAAAGGUAGAAUCAAAGUGCCCCCAUGGUGGAAACUCAGGGGAUUUCAAAAAGUUUUCUUGGGCUGGGGAUGUGGCUCAAGCUGUAGCGCGCUCACCUG
rnacentral:lncRNA from 1 species